rnacentral:rRNA from 1 species
GACGAACGCUGGCGGCGUGCUUAACACAUGCAAGUCGAACGGAAAGGCCCUGCUUUUGUGGGGUGCUCGAGUGGCGAACGGGUGAGUAACACGUGAGUAACCUGCCCUUGACUUUGGGAUAACUUCAGGAAACUGGGGCUACUACCGGAUAGGAUCUCCUGCUGCAUGGUGGGGGUUGGAAAGUUUCGGCGGUUGGGGAUGGACUCGCGGCUUAUCAGCUUGUUGGUGGGGUAGUGGCUUACCAAGGCUUUGACGGGUAGCCGGCCUGAGAGGGUGACCGGCCACAUUGGGACUGAGAUACGGCCCAGACGCCUACGGGAGGCAGCAGUGGGGAAUAUUGCACAAUGGGCGGAAGCCUGAUGCAGCAACGCCGCGUGCGGGAUGACGGCCUUCGGGUUGUAAACCGCUUUCGCCUGUGACGAAGCGUGAGUGACGGUAAUGGGUAAAGAAGCACCGGCUAACUACGUG